rnacentral:rRNA from 1 species
GUGGGGAAUUUUGGACAAUGGGCGAAAGCCUGAUCCAGCAAUGCCGCGUGUGUGAAGAAGGCCUUCGGGUUGUAAAGCACUUUUGUCCGGAAAGAAAUCUGUCUGGCUAAUACCUAGAUGGGAUGACGGUACCGGAAGAAUAAGCACCGGCUAACUACGUGCCAGCAGCCGCGGUAAUACGUAGGGUGCGAGCGUUAAUCGGAAUUACUGGGCGUAAAGCGUGCGCAGGCGGUUUUGUAAGACCGAUGUGAAAUCCCCGGGCUUAACCUGGGAACUGCAUUGGUGACUGCAAGGCUAGAGUGCGUCAGAGGGGGGUGGAAUUCCGCGUGUAGCAGUGAAAUGCGUAGAGAUGCGGAGGAACACCGAUGGCGAAGGCAGCCCCCUGGGAUGACACUGACGCUCAUGCACGAAAGCGUGGGGAGCAAACAGGAUUAGAUACCCUGGUAGUCC